rnacentral:snoRNA from 1 species
CGCACAAAGCGUAUGAUGAAAAAGCACCAAAACCGACUCCGUAUGAAGAGCAUUCAAUCCAACACUGAGCUUUGUGUC